rnacentral:snoRNA from 1 species
CUUGAAGUGAUGAGGCUCGAGCAUGUAAGAAGAGCCAUUCAUGUGGUUUCUUCAAUGAAAUACUCUUGUUUUGCUUAGCUUGUGAGAGCAUU